rnacentral:rRNA from 1 species
GUACUUAUACCGAUUGGAUGAGUUGCGAACGGGUGAGUAACGCGUAGGUAACCUGCCUGAUAGCGGGGGAUAACUAUUGGAAACGAUAGCUAAUACCGCAUAACAGUUGUGAUUGCAUGAUGACAACUUGAAAGGGGCAAAUGCUCCACUAUUGGAUGGACCUGCGUUGUAUUAGCUAGUUGGUGGGGUAACGGCUCACCAAGGCGACGAUACAUAGCCGACCUGAGAGGGUGAUCGGCCACACUGGGACUGAGACACGGCCCAGACUCCUACGGGAGGCAGCAGUAGGGAAUCUUCGGCAAUGGGGGCAACCCUGACCGAGCAACGCCGCGUGAGUGAAGAAGGUUUUCGGAUCGUAAAGCUCUGUUGUAAGAGAAGAACUGUAGCAGGAGUGGAAAAUCUGCUACUUGACGGUAUCUUACCAGAAAGGGACGGCUAACUACGUGCCAGCAGCCGCGGUAAUACGUAGGUCCCGAGCGUUAUCCGGAUUUAUUGGGCGUAAAGCGAGCGCAGGCGGUUAGAUAAGUCUGAAGUCAAAGGCUGUGGCUUAACCAUAGUAUGCUUUGGAAACUGUUUAACUUGAGUGCAGAAGGGGAGAGUGGAAUUCCAUGUGCAGCGGUGAAAUGCGUAGAUAUAUGGAGGAACACCGGUGGCGAAAGCGGCUCUCUGGUCUGUAACUGACGCUGAGGCUCGAAAGCGUGGGUAGCGAACAGGAUUAGAUACCCUGGUAGUCCACGCCGUAAACGAUGAGUGCUAGGUGUUGGGUCCUUUCCGGGACUCAGUGCCGCAGCUAACGCAUUAAGCACUCCGCCUGGGGAGUACGACCGCAAGGUUGAAACUCAAAGGAAUUGACGGGGGCCCGCACAAGCGGUGGAGCAUGUGGUUUAAUUCGAAGCAACGC